AUCCAGCUGAUAAACCCCGAAUAGGACGAAACGCGCGUCCUAGAU
rnacentral:hammerhead_ribozyme from 1 species